AGAGUUUGAUCAUGGCUCAGAUUGAACGCUGGCGGCAGGCCUAACACAUGCAAGUCGAACGGUAACAGGAAACAGCUUGCUGUUUCGCUGACGAGUGGCGGACGGGUGAGUAAUGUCUGGGAAACUGCCUGAUGGAGGGGGAUAACUACUGGAAACGGUAGCUAAUACCGCAUAACGUCGCAAGACCAAAGAGGGGGACCUUCGGGCCUCUUGCCAUCAGAUGUGCCCAGAUGGGAUUAGCUAGUAGGUGGGGUAACGGCUCACCUAGGCGACGAUCCCUAGCUGGUCUGCGAGGAUGACCAGCCACACUGGAACUGAGACACGGUCCAGACUCCUACGGGAGGCAGCAGUGGGGAAUAUUGCACAAUGGGCGCAAGCCUGAUGCAGCCAUGCCGCGUGUAUGAAGAAGGCCUUCGGGUUGUAAAGUACUUUCAGCGGGGAGGAAGGGAGUAAAGUUAAUACCUCUGCUCAUUGACGUUACCCGCAGAAGAAGCACCGGCUAACUCCGUGCCAGCAGACGCGGUAAUACGGAGGGUGCAAGCGUUAAUCGGAAUUACUGGGCGUAAAGCGCACGCAGGCGGUUUGUUAAGUCAGAUGUGAAAUCCCCGGGCUCAACCUGGGAACUGCAUCUGAUACUGGCAAGCUUGAGUCUCGUAGAGGGGGGUAGAAUUCCAGGUGUAGCGGUGAAAUGCGUAGAGAUCUGGAGGAAUACCGGUGGCGAAGGCGGCCCCCUGGACGAAGACUGACGCUCAGGUGCGAAAGCGUGGGGAGCAAACAGGAUUAGAUACCCUGGUAGUCCACGCCGUAAACGAUGUCGACUUGGAGGUUGUGCCCUUGAGGCGUGGCUUCCGGAGCUAACGCGUUAAGUCGACCGCCUGGGGAGUACGGCCGCAAGGUUAAAACUCAAAUGAAUUGACGGGGGCCCGCACAAGCGGUGGAGCAUGUGGUUUAAUUCGAUGCAACGCGAAGAACCUUACCUGGUCUUGACAUCCACGGAAGUUUUCAGAGAUGAGAAUGUGCCUUCGGGAACCGUGAGACAGGUGCUGCAUGGCUGUCGUCAGCUCGUGUUGUGAAAUGUUGGGUUAAGUCCCGCAACGAGCGCAACCCUUAUCCUUUGUUGCCAGCGGUCCGGCCGGGAACUCAAAGGAGACUGCCAGUGAUAAACUGGAGGAAGGUGGGGAUGACGUCAAGUCAUCAUGGCCCUUACGACCAGGGCUACACACGUGCUACAAUGGCGCAUACAAAGAGAAGCGACCUCGCGAGAGCAAGCGGACCUCAUAAAGUGCGUCGUAGUCCGGAUUGGAGUCUGCAACUCGACUCCAUGAAGUCGGAAUCGCUAGUAAUCGUGGAUCAGAAUGCCACGGUGAAUACGUUCCCGGGCCUUGUACACACCGCCCGUCACACCAUGGGAGAGGGUUGCAAAAGAAGUAGGUAGCUUAACCUUCGGGAGGGCGCUUACCACUUUGUGAUUCAUGACUGGGGUGAAGUCGAAACAAGGUAACCGUAGGGGAACCUGCGGUUG
rnacentral:rRNA from 1 species